UACGUAGGUGGCAAGCCGUUGUCCGGAUUUAUUGGGCGUAAAAGGGGAGCGCAGGCGGUGAUUUAAGUCUGAUGUGAAAGCCCACGGCUCAACCGUGGAAGGUCAUUGGAAACUGGAUCACUUGAGUGCAGAAGAGGAAAGUGGGAAUUCCAUGUGUAGCGGUGAAAUGCGCAGAUAUCAGGAAGAACACCCGUGGCUAAGGCGGUUCUCUAGUACGGUACUGACGCUGAGACGCGAAAGCGUGGGGAGCGAACAGG
rnacentral:rRNA from 1 species